rnacentral:rRNA from 1 species
GACGAACGCUGGCGGCGUGCUUAACACAUGCAAGUCGUACGGUAAGGCCCUUUCGGGGGUACACGAGUGGCGAACGGGUGGGUAACACGUGAGUAACCUGCCCACCACUUUGGGAUAACGCUCGGAAACUGGUGCUAAUACUGGCUAUGUGCUCCUGCUGCAUGGUGGGGGUUGGAAAGCUCCGGCGGUUGGGGAUGGACUCGCGGCCUAUCAGCUUGUUGGUGGGGUAGUGGCCUACCAAGGCGGCGACGGGUAGCCGGCCUGAGAGGGUGAGCGGCCACAUUGGGACUGAGAUACGGCCCAGACUCCUACGGGAGGCAGCAGUGGGGAAUAUUGCACAAUGGGCGCAAGCCUGAUGCAGCAACGCCGCGGGCGGGAUGACGGGCUUCGGGUUGGAAACCGCUUUCAGCAGGGACGAAGCUUUUUGUGACGGUACCUGCAGAAGAAGCACCGGCUAACUACGUG